rnacentral:rRNA from 1 species
UACGAAGGGUGCAAACGUUGCUCGGAAUUAUUGGGCGUAAAGCGCACGUAGGCGGCAUCGCAAGUCCCAUGUGAAAGCCUACGCGUAACCGUGGAAGUGCAUGGGAAACUGCAGUGCUUGAGUACUUAAGAGGAUCGCGGAAUUCCCGGUGUAGAGGUGAAAUUCGUAGAUAUCGGGAGGAACACCAGUGGCGAAGGCGGCGAUCUGGGAAGAUACUGACGCUGAGGUGCGAAAGCGUGGGGAGCAAACAGG